GACAGAGGAUGCAAGCGUUAUCCGGAAUGAUUGGGCGUAAAGCGUCUGUAGGUGGCUUUUUAAGUCCGCCGUCAAAUCCCAGGGCUCAACCCUGGACAGGCGGUGGAAACUACCAAGCUGGAGUACGGUAGGGGCAGAGGGAAUUUCCGGUGGAGCGGUGAAAUGCGUGAGAGAGUACGGAAAGAACCACCAACGGCGAAAGCACUCUGCUGGGCCGACACUGACACUGAGAGACGAAAGCUAGGGGAGCGAAUGGG
rnacentral:rRNA from 1 species